GACGAACGCUGGCGGCGUGCUUAACACAUGCAAGUCGAACGGAAAGGCCCUGCUUUUGUGGGGUGCUCGAGUGGCGAACGGGUGAGUAACACGUGAGUAACCUGCCCUUGACUUUGGGAUAACUUCAGGAAACUGGGGCUAAUACCGGAUAGGAGCUCCUGCUGCAUGGUGGGGGUUGGAAAGUUUCGGCGGUUGGGGAUGGACUCGCGGCUUAUCAGCUUGUUGGUGGGGUAGUGGCUUACCCAGGCUUUGACGGGUAGCCGGCCUGAGAGGGUGACCGGCCACAUUGGGACUGAGAUACGGCCCAGACUCCUACGGGGGGCAGCAGUGGGGAAUAUUGCACAAUGGGCGGAAGCCUGAUGCAGCAACGCCGCGUGCGGGAUGACGGCCUUCUGGUUGUAAACCGCUUUCGCCUGUGACGAAGCGUUAGUGACGGUAAUGGGUAAAGAAGCACCGGCUAACUACGUG
rnacentral:rRNA from 1 species